rnacentral:lncRNA from 1 species
GCAGGCAGCUUGCCACCCUCUGCUGUGACCAUAUCUUGACCACCCUCGCCCCCAGGGACAGGUGCUCUUCAUUCGCUGCUACCAUGUGGGAACAGCCAUGACUAACGCAGAAUCUUGUUUAAAAAGAGCAUUUACAUUUUUCCCUAUAAACCUUAAGCUUCAUUUCCCACUGCCUGUUGAGGCUUUCUGCGCUAGUGAAACGACAGGAAGAGGUGUAUACUGAACAUAAAUUCAUACAAAAAAGUGUGCAUAGCAUAGAUGUGAAGCCCUGUGAAUUGUCCCAACAAACCCAGGCACAGCCAUAACAAGCAGCAAGACCCCCCGCCCCCGACACACACACGCUUUAACUCACCUGAAGGGUAAGUGAAGGGAAUUCAUUAUCCUGACUUCACCAUCCCAGGUUAGUGUUGGCCAACAGGGAGACCUUUAAAGUCCUGGAUAUGCCUUAACAGGGGCAGUGUACAAUUUAACCCCUAGGGCAAGCGAGUGGGAGAAUCCAUGACCUUACACUCCGGCUCUGGCUUGAAUGGGACCUUCAGGGUGGGAGAGCGACUUUGGUGUCCGAAAAUCCACCUCUGGAACCACGCGAGAGUAGCUGAAGGCCAGGACGUCACAGAGAACCCAGGUCCCGAGGCUCGCUUGCAGGACAGGUGCCCGGAUGUGCCCUCCCCCUCCCGAAGCAGCCUGCUGUUCCACGCCGACCAAGGCCAUGCGCACACGCACGUCGAGUUAAAAUACUCCAACGCUUGAAGAAUACAGGAUGAGACUUCUCCCUCUCACCCUGCCCGCCAUGGUCAUGUUCUCCCCUCCUUUAGUAACUCCUGUUCUUCACUUCCUGGACAUUCUUCCAGCGGCUUUUCAACACCUAUACAGUAUUUUUCUCUCCGUUUGUUGCUCUGUCUUUAUUUGUUUAACAAUCUGCCUUGGAGAUUUUCAUACAUUCGUACACAAAUGACUUCCACAUUCUUUUUCACAGCUACCUAGCAUUCCAUGGUUUACCUAUAGUGUGACUUUUAACUUUAUUGAAAAAUAAUUCACAUACUGUAAGAUUUACCUUUUUAAAGUAUGUGUUCAAUGGCUUUUAGUACAGUUAUGCAACUAAGGGCACCGUUUUAGAAAUUUCAUUACCCCUAAAAAAUCCUACAACCCUUAGUUAUCACCCUUCUAAGGCCCGUACCUCAGAUGACCACAUUUUAUAUAAUGACAUUUUAUAUAAAUGACAUUAUAAAUGAAAUCAUACCAUAUGUGGUCCUUUGUGACUGGCUUUUCUUUACUAAGCAUAAUGUUCCCAGGGUCAUCCAUAUGGCACCAUGUGUAGACACUUCAUUCUUUGUUAUUGCUGCCUAAUAUUCCAUUAUAUGAACAUCCCACAUUUUGUUUAUGUGUUCAUCACUUGAUGGACAUUUGUAUUUUUCCCAUAUAGGGGCUAUUGUGAAUAAUACUGCUAUAAAAGUUCAG